AAAUAUAAUUGUUGUUAUACCUUCCGCUUGGAAGAAAGAUUCACAUCAAGUUGACUGGUCAAGUAAAUGGGACACUGACUAACCAUACAAUUAGACUGUUUUGAUGAGGAACUUAAAGAUUACGAGUCCCGUCCGUUUGACUCAGAGUUUGGUACCAUAGGUUGGUACGAUCUUCGUUGGAGAAGGAAAAGGGAUGUUCCAGAUACAGAAAAUAGUCAAACCAUUUACUACAAAGUCCAUUUCUGGGUGGAGUUAGUGGAACCGAAAAAGAUGUCUCCCUCACAGCGUUUGUGACAAAAGAAUUGCAUCGUUCCUUGGCGGCCUUUCAACAGAAGAAUAUUCAGAGAUUUCCCGAGUGAUUGUGAUGUUGGUUCCUGGAAAGCCUCCAUUGUUGGAGGACGAGAAGCCGUAUCCAAUUGAAGCAGCACAGGCUUCUGCGAUGACUGUGGAAACCACUGCUUAUGCCUUGCUUCAAGCAUUGUCAAGGAAUGAUAUUGACUAUGCAACACCGAUUGCGAGGUGGCCAACGAUGCAACAGAACUAUGGUGGUGUAUUUCACUCGACGCAGACAACAUCAGGUGAAGAUGUGCGUGAUUUCAGCAAGGUGCUGAAAAAUAAGUUCAGAUCAAAGAAACACUUUGCCAAACAUCCUGGCUUGAGUUAUUUACUAGUACAAACAGUUCUAGAAGGCGAGAACCUU